UGCCACAGCGGUAAGGGAAAUAUACAGCGGUUUGGUUUUUUGUUACAAAAAAGUAGAAGUGAAUUAUCACAACUUAAUGUUAUAAUUAACGUAGACUAUGCGUGAUUGCUUGUAUUUGUAUUGGUAUGUGUUGUAUUUGAAUACUCAGUUAUCACUAUGCAAAUUAAACGGAAAUAUAACAAUAUACCGGCAAAUAAGUUUGUGUUUUUAAAAUAUUUUGAUUUGUUAUACUUGUUGUCCGAAGGGAAAGAUUUAGUUGUAUUCAAAUAUCGAGGCAGAUUGCGACAUUUGCAAUUCUAAUAAAAUAAAAAUUAUCUAAUGUAAAUAUACAAUAAUUGACUUAUUAUUUAUUUAUUUAUAUUUUGGCCUUCGACUCCAAGAAGUAAACGCCGACUGGAGACGUGUACGCAUUCUCCCGAGAAGCGCAGAGUGCUACUUUUGGAAAUUAAUAGUUUUAAAUUAUUUUGUGUAUACUUUUUCGCACGCCCCUCGUGCAAAUCAGCUUCGGUUGACAGGAUCAGCGUGUUUAUUGAAAGUUUUCUAUCUAUCUAUAUUGUACUACACUGUUUAAUAAGUUAUGUUGUAUUAGGCUAUCUGUGUGGUACUACAGUAUAUCACUGGAUAUUAUGCAACACUGUACGUGUGAUUGUGCGUGUGGUAUUACAAUAUGUCCAUGGAUAUUAUGCAUGCAACACUGUAUGUGUGGUAUAUUACAGUACGUGUAUGGUAUUACAGUAUGUCCAUGGUAAUUAUGUGACACUGUGUAUGUGGUAUUAUGUGUGUGUUAUUACGGUAUGACCAUGGAUAUUAUUUGACACUGUAUGUGUGAUAUUAUGUGUGUGGUAUUACUGUAACAGUAUGUAUAUGGCUAUUAUGCGACACUGUAUAUGUGGCAUUAUGUGUAUGGCAUUACACUAUGUCCAUGGAUAUUAUGCAACGCUGUGUUGGUAUUACAGUAUAACCAUGGAUAUUAUGCGACCUUGUAUGUGUGGUAUUAUGUGUGUAGUAUUACAGUAUGUCCAUGGUUAGCAUGCGACACUACAAUCAAUGCCUGUAGCAACAAACAUUAGAAGUACAACAUUAGAAGUUCAUUUUAAAGAUUUGAAUUGACUGAAACAGAAGAAAACCAUGCAAGUCUAUACUGUGUUUCCACUUCAUUCCUUUUCACCCAACAACCCUCACUUAUACGACAAGCAAUAGUCUUGACUUGCACCAUUAAAAAAGUCAAUAUGAAAGAGGUACUGAGGCCUUGACCAGUUUUCAGUUCACUCACUGGUAACAAUGGAUAAAACGCUUUUUCCAGUGUGACACAUUAGGUGCACAAAACUUUAAAGUGGUAGCUAGCGAAAUUAUUGUAGAUAACCUUAACUCCACAAGAAUGUUUGAGAGGAAUGUAACAGUGGAAGGCAGGACGCAAUGUGCUAGUCAUAUUUAAAUCAAUGAUCUACUCUUAGUACUAGUCAUUUGUUGAGAAAGCUAGCAUUUCAUUAAAUCAUGUGAAAUGAUUUCUCAGAAUAAGUCAUAAAGUUUGCUACUUAAUAUAAAUUUAGCAUUUGUGAAAGUGGCUGAAAUUCUCUUUAAAAUUGUAAAAUUCACAAUGAAAUAGCCACACCUUUUUGCGAACAAUCGUGUUGGAUGAUAAUGGCAAUGAAAACCUCAAAUAGUUUAAGUACAGACAUAAAGGUAGGCCGAGGCACCUACAUUUGAGGCACUUCAAUAAAUAUUUCCACAAAAAAAUUCAUUUGGUUUUGUUUCGACAAAGUAAA